AGAGGCCUACACAGUGGCUGUUAUCCGAGGGGAAGGCCGGAUUGCUAGCACGAGUCGUUGGGAACCGAGAAAGCAGGAGCAACAAAUUGUUGAGCAAAUUUGGGUGUGCUUUCUCCAUGGGAGGCAGGGAAUAGAGUGGAAAGAGGGCAUGAACUUUGGAAGUCAGGUCUGCCUUUGCCAGCUGUGUGACACAUUGUCCAGAUGUGAACCAAGAUUUGGCCUUUUCACCCAGAGAAAAAGGAAAGGCUCAUGGGCACACAGUAGGUAUUUGGUAAAUGUCUGUGGAAAGAAGAAAAAAUCUUGAGGUAUUAUUACUUCCUCCAGAAGGAGACCCAUUGCUUAACACACACAGUUUCCUUUAAGCUAGCUGUUUUUAUACUGUAACAUGGUGUAAUAUGAGCAUCUUUCUGAUUCAUGGAUUUAAAGAUUAACUGACUUGAGUUUUCAAAUAUGUGUACAACAGGAUCUGCGCUUUGGGGCUUCUGCAGUGAUCUCUUGAGAUACAGCAGUUUAUUUCGCUAUAACAUCUGUUAGACUUGGACCAUAGUAGGUACAGCUGCUUGAAUGAAGUUUCCUGGAGAACACUGGAUGAUUGUUUGGUAUUAGGGAUAAAGAGUUCAAAAUAUUAAAUUUGUCACAAAAUUAAGUAUUUGAGAAAGAUCUGUGACGGAUGUGCAUUAAUGUGGGAAUAGUAAACGGGUUUUGAACAGAUGAUAUUCUUGGUGGUUUUGCUCAGCUAUUCUGUGUUGGUUCCCAGUCUGAAGAUGACUUAGGGCUGUAUAGUGAAUUAUUAGGAACUCAGAAGGUUUAUAUAACCCAUCCACAUAGAUUGUGAAAAGUAAACUCUCAGUUCCUCCACUCAAGGAGCUCUCAUUGCUGCUUCUAUACCGUCCCAGAUGCCUUAAAGUCACCUAUUUCAUCAUGUUUAUCAAACUUAAUGGGAGAGAUCCUUUAACAUAAUUUAUCCUCCCUUUCCCUUUGUACCCCACCACCACACACAGAGUGAAGUUCUUUCCCCAGAAGGGGUAUAUUAAUCUAAUUGCAAAUGGCAGAAACCUAACGUAAGCUAAC